CAGUCCCACUGCCGGGUGUGGAGUGUCCCUUAAACUGUGAAAGAAUGAGAAUGAGCUUUGGCUUAAUUUUUAGGACAGCAAAAGGCCGCUGGAUGGCAAAGCUCAGCCGGCAGUGCUCACGUGGAUCCACUGAAUUGUUUGUGCCAUCAAGUCCUCCUUUGGACCCUGAGAAGGUCAAAGAGUUCCAGCGCUUUAUCACCCUUUCCAAGAGACUGCUAGUGAUGACUGGAGCAGGAAUCUCCACUGAGUCAGGGAUUCCAGACUACAGGUCAGAAAAGGUGGGACUUUAUGCCCGCACAGACCGGAGGCCCAUCCAGCAUGGGGAUUUUGUACGGAGCGCUCCAAUCCGCCAACGGUACUGGGCAAGAAACUUUGUAGGCUGGCCUCAGUUCUCCUCCCACCAGCCUAAUCCUGCACACUGGGCUUUGAGCAACUGGGAGAGACUGGGAAAGCUGUACUGGUUGGUGACCCAAAAUGUGGAUGCCUUGCACACCAAGGCGGGGAGUCAGCGCCUGACAGAACUCCACGGAUGCAUGCACAGGGUCCUCUGCUUGGACUGUGGCGAGCAGACUCCCCGCAGGGUGCUGCAGGAGCGGUUUGAAGUCCUGAACCCCACUUGGAGCGCUGAGGCCCACGGCCUGGCUCCGGACGGUGAUGUCUUUCUCACCGAGGAGCAGGUACAGAGCUUCCAGGUCCCGUCCUGCUCUCGAUGUGGAGGCCCCCUGAAACCAGAUGUUGUCUUCUUCGGGGACACAGUGAACCCUAACACAGUGGAUUUUGUGCACAAGCGUGUAAAAGAAGCUGACUCUCUCCUGGUGGUGGGGUCAUCCUUGCAGGUGUACUCCGGUUACAAGUUUAUCCUCACAGCCCGGGAGAAAAAGCUGCCCAUUGCAAUACUGAACAUUGGUCCCACACGGUCGGAUAACUUGGCGUCUCUGAAAUUGGAUUCACGUUGUGGAGAGUUGCUGCCUUUAAUAGACCCACACUGACCACAGCCUGAUGUUCCUGAGAUGGAAACUGAAACUUUCCCUUGAAUUCUGCUGCUGAAGGUAAAAAUGCCUUCUCAGAUAUUAGAUUCCAGUUCCCACUCAACUGAGAGCACGGACAAAGGAAAGAAGGUUCUAGGCUUCUUAAUAUCCAUAAGGAUUCACCCUUGCUUCCUCUAAGCCAUCCAGGCUCACCAAGUGUAGCCUACAGAGGGCAGCAGACCAACAUCUCUGCCAGCCCACCUCUAAACCCAGCAGGUUUCAGAGCCCGAGUGAAGAUCUUUAGGAAGAUGAGAUUUGCCCCACAGCUUCUCCUGAUAGGAAAACUGCUUUCACUUCCUUUUUAUCUCACCAGGCAGAAGAAAUAGCCCAGGAAAUAUGUAGGCCAGAAUGGUCUCUGGAGUGCUACCCUAGGAAUCUCACUAAUUGGGGGUGGGGAGGAAAUGACUUAAUUUAUAAUUCCAAGUGGUUGUCUUUAACUGAACCAUUUUGAUAUAUUUUUUAAAAUAGAUGAACAAUAGUUUUAAUGAAUUUUUUAUUAACAAAGGAAUAAAGGAAUCAUUUUAAAAAUACCAUA